CUAAUCCUCCCCAUUCCUUCAUCCUGAACAAAACUGCCCGCACGAACCCACGACCUUCGCUGCUCCUCCUUUGCUACCCACGCCUCCCGCAGUUCCUCCGCUCGGCAGCCCCCCGCAGAUCCUCUGCUGCCCCACGGACGCAACCGCGGACUGCCGCCGCCGAUGAUCCCAUCUGAUGGCGGCGCCGACCCAUCCCUGGCGCUGGAUGCGGCGACCUCCGGCAGAGGCGCGCCCGGCCGCGCCUUCCCCAGCACAGUCGCGCCGGGCUGCCUCCGCUCCUCCGGCAGCGCCGGGCCCGUCCGCCGCAGCUGCCCGCCGGCGAGGGCACAAUCGGCGCCGACCUGCACGCGCAAGGGGAGGCGGCAGGAGCAGUCGUGCAAGGGCAGGACCAGCCGUGCGGUCAAUCGAGCGAUCCUUUUUCAUCUUGGCCGCCAUGUCCCCCGCCGUCGACGACGCCCGCUGUGGCGAUCUCCGCCCUGGCGACCAGCUCUACCUCGCCUGCCAAAUCAAAUCUAGGAACUAAGGUUGAUUUCUAUGACUUCAGUUCGCUGGUGGUACUGGCAUAACGCUUAUGUUGCAGGCUUCUCCAGAACGAUUCCUUAUCUCAACCAGUCAUAAGUUAGCCUGAAGACAUAAGGUGCAGAUUUUUUUUUCCUUGGUAUAAGAGAUACUUUCGACUAAGCACACGUGCAAUGUUACAUUUGAGUAAGGGAUUACCAUGUUCUCUGAAUUUUCUACCCGACAGAUAUGUUCAACUAUAUUUAAAGUAUUCCGAUAAAGGCUUUACCCCCGCUUUAUAUUAUAAAGCAUCCGGAUAUUUAGAGUAUUAUACAUCUCUAAUCUGCAUAUUUUUGACCAACAUGAUAAUGUUCCAUACUUCUUAAGCCAUUUUGGUGCCACCUAUUGUACCAUCAUUUUUAGCUUCAGGUAUUGUCCUUAUUUCCAAACAAUUCCAUUGUCUUCGCUUUCUCUACUCACAUGUGUUUUUUAAGGGUCGUUCGGUAGUCCACCCGCUCCGCAGUAUUUUAGAAUCUGCAGAGUACCGUUUCUCUCGCUCCGUACUUUUUAACUACAACUCCCGUCGACUCCGGGAGCGGCCUCGUGGAGCGGAGGCCCUCCGAACAGGCCCUUAGUCUUCCUCUCACUCUUUUGAGCUUCUACAGAACUGAUGUCUGACUGCUAUGUUUACCCUUCUGAAUAAUACCCUUAUCAAGUUUUCAGCUUUUAAUGUAAAACCAUAACCAAUUACGCACGUGUUACCGAAAUUUUGGAGUUCUUUUUCACCUUUUCUUGUCCGGUUGUGGAUAAAAAAAACUUAUGCUGAAUCAUUACGUCUCCGGACGAGCAGUGCAGAUUUGAGAGUUAGGUUAUUUGUCAAAAGUUUUCCGUUUUAUCCAUACAAUAGAAAAAUUAGUUUUACAUAAUUUGAAUGUGUGCUCACAUGAGCUUGUAAACUUCUCUCAUGUGUCCACACAAGGGCGGAGGGAAGAUUCUUUCUGUGAAGUAACCUAUUUUGUAUGAAGUUGUAGUUGAUUUUGUCGGACUGGGAAGUGAUGGAUGCACCAAGUAGGUGGUCUUUAUUUCUGGGAUUAGAAUUUUCAAAAGGACUAUUUCUUCUCACCUUGAUCUUGUGAUCUAAUGAAACUUAUUCCUGAUUUUGAUCAGGGACACAACAGUGAAGAUGUUUUUGAAUUUCGUGCUGUAGCUAAAUGAACGAUUAUUAUAUAUUGGAGAAUUAACGAGGUAUGCCUAAUGCCAAGCAUGCUUGCAGAAGUACACGAUUCAAGAGAUUUUCUAUUUUGGCAGAAGUUGGUGUGCCCACCGACAAGUGUGCUCUGAAAAUUAGUCAAUUACUGCACCAGCUGGACUUAUAGAUCGGUUCACAAGGUUCUUUCUGGACAGUAGUUAUGGUUUAAUACAUUUAAAACAUGUAUGGUUGUUUGAUUCAUGAACAAAACAAAUAUAUUCUCUUUUGCGCUUUGGGCAUUUCACAUAUGACCAUUGUACUGUUGCACUAUUACUACGACCUAUGUGAAAGGUAAAUAAACCUUUCAGCAACAUAUGUUGGUAUAAUUCUCUCCCAACUAGCAUUAUAUGCCAUAUAUAGUUGUUUUUUUUACUGAAAUGUUAGGAGCCUCGUGUAUAAGGUAUGCAGAAAUUCUCACUUUGGGGAAGUGAUUAAUUCUUCAUGUGCAGUAACCUGGAGAGAUGGUGCUGGUGGAUUCUAGCCGCAAGGUGAGUGGCUUGAUCCUUGAUUAAUCAUGUUUAAUUUUAAAUGGAUGUGAAGUGAUUGUCCUAGAUCAAUGGGUGAUUUAUGUGCAAAUGCUACAGUCGAAGACAUGCAGUUGCUUGCCGUCGAUGAAGUGACAUCAACAUGGGUAGCUGAUCCAGUCAUCUGUUAGUCUCUUCGUCUUUCUUCCUUGCACUUUGUUCUUCAGUCAUGUGUUCGGCAUCCUUCCCCAUGCUACUGACUCUAUGGUGUCGCUGGCCCAUGCUUCUGAGUUCUGACUCUCCAUUCAUAUACUCACUUCUUAGAAAUCCCAUGGCAAUUGCUUUCAUGUGAAUUUUGGUUAGUACUCCGUAUUUAUGAUGCUGCUGGCCUCAUUGCUCUGAAUAUACUACCACACUGCAUGAUAAAAUCAACAAUGACUUUUCUUAAUGCAUGUAAAUUAUCGCUUCUCUGUAAUGUUUGAUGUGAAUUUAUUCCAUGACAAUGGUGCAAACUAGGAUCUGACUGGACAAGACGGCCGCGCUGUCAGCCCAGUCUACCGCGUCCUUGCUUGCGUCAGCACACCCAUUGCAAGCCUGCUGAUGGUGCAGUUGCUGAGCAGGGAGGUUAAAUCCCCGAGCCAGGCAACAAUAUGGAUGACUUGGAUUGAUAAAUUUUUUCAUUAGCAUUUAUCUCCUUAACGAGAGAACUUUUGAGAAUUUUAAUAACUUUGAAAGAUGUUUAUAUUGGCAACAGUAGUUGUAACGAAUAUUAUGUGUUUUAAGAAUAUGGUUUUUGGUGCUAACAGUUGCAGGAUUAGAUCACCAUUCGAACAUGAUUUGGGGAUAAUGCAAAGCGGCUUUCCAA